rnacentral:snoRNA from 17 species
UUGAGUGAUGACUCUACGACACGCUAAGGCAUUCCUCAAACUUAAUCACCAUGUGGAAUCUGUCUAAAAUUAAGUUUCAGCCUUGUCUGACU